rnacentral:lncRNA from 1 species
GCAUAUCAACUAGGUUCCAAACCUUGUUAGAGUACAUAGAAUCCAUCUCAGAAUUAUUGGCUUCUUGCCACUUCCCGGAGUCUAUACUCAUAAUAGCCUCCUCGUAGGUCUGAGGAUCAAUAUCCUCUCCUCUAAUAUGUCCCACAUAUCUCAUAGGAGGAUGAGAUACUCUAUCAGACCUGCGUAAAGUUGAAACUUGUGUAUUAGGUACCUGAACAGACUCGGGCUGUAGAGUGGUGCUUGAG